rnacentral:tRNA from 1 species
GAGGGUAUAGCUUAGUGGUAGAGUGUGUGCUUAGCGUACAUGAGGUCCUGGAUUCAAUCCUCAGUACCUCCA